CCUACGGGAGGCAGCAGUGGGGAAUUUUGGACAAUGGGGGCAACCCUGAUCCAGCCAUGCCGCGUGCGGGAAGAAGGCCUUCGGGUUGUAAACCGCUUUCGGCCGGAACGAAAUCGCCGGGGAGAACACCCCCGGUGGAUGACGGUACCGGAAGAAGAAGCACCGGCUAACUACGUGCC
rnacentral:rRNA from 1 species